UGGGGAAUAUUGCACAAUGGGGGAAACCCUGAUGCAGCGACGCCGCGUGAACGAAGAAGGUAUUCGUAUCGUAAAGUUCUGUCCUAUGGGAAGAUAAUGACAGUACCAUAGAAGAAAGCUCCGGCUAAAUACGUGCCAGCAGCCGCGGUAAUACGUAUGGAGCGAGCGCUGUCCGGAAUUAUUGGGCGUAAAGGGUACGCAGGCGGUUUAAUAAGUCGAAUGUUAAAGAUCGGGGCUCAACCCCGUAAAGCAUUGGAAACUGAUAAACUUGAGUAGUGGAGAGGAAAGUGGAAUUCCUAGUGUAGUGGUGAAAUACGUAGAUAUUAGGAGGAAUACCAGUAGCGAAGGCGACUUUCUGGACACAAACUGACGCUGAGGUACGAAAGCGUGGGGAGCAAACAAG
rnacentral:rRNA from 1 species